GACGAACGCUGGCGGCGUGCUUAACACAUGCAAGUCGAACGGAAAGGCCCUGCUUUUGUGGGGUGCUCGAGUGGCGAACGGGUGAGUAACACGUGAGUAACCUGCCCUUGACUUUGGGAUAACUUCAGGAAACUGGAGCUAAUACCGGAUAGGAGCUCCUGCUGCAUGGUGGGGGUUGGAAAGUUUCGGCGGUUGGGGAUGGACUCGCGGCUUAUCAGCUUGUUGGUGGGGUAGUGGCUUACCAAGGCUUUGACGGGUAGCCGGCCUGAGAGGGUGACCGGCCACAUUGGGACUGAGAUACGGCCCAGACUCCUACGGGAGGCAGCAGUGGGGAAUAUUGCACAAUGGGCGGAAGCCUGAUGCAGCAACGCCGCGUGCGGGAUGACGGCCUUCGGGUUGUAAACCGCUUUCGCCUGUGACGAAGCGUGAGUGACGGUAAUGGGUAAAGAAGCACCGGCUAACUACGCG
rnacentral:rRNA from 1 species